GUGGGGAAUAUUGGGCAAUGGGGGAAACCCUGACCCAGCGACGCCGCGUGAGGGAAGAAGGCCUUAGGGUCGUAAACCUCUGUUGUGUGGGAAGAAGAGCGUGACGGUACCACACGAGGAAGUCCCGGCUAACUACGUGCCAGCAGCCGCGGUAAUACGUAGGGGACGAGCGUUGUCCGGAUUUACUGGGCGUAAAGGGCGCGUAGGCGGUCAGUUAAGUCAGCUGUGAAAUGGUUUGGCUUAACCGGAUCAUGCGGUUGAAACUGGAUGACUGGAGUGCUGGAGAGGCAAGUGGAAUUCCCAGUGUAGCGGUGAAAUGCGUAGAUAUUGGGAAGAACACCGGUGGCGAAGGCGACUUGCUGGCCAGCAACUGACGCUGAGGCGCGAAAGCCAGGGGAGCAAACAGGAUUAGAAACCCUUGUAGUCC
rnacentral:rRNA from 1 species